rnacentral:rRNA from 1 species
ACGGGGGGGGCAAGCGUUGUUCGGAAUUACUGGGCGUAAAGGGCUUGUAGGUGGCCAACUAAGUCCGACGUGAAAUCCCUAGGCUUAACCUAGGAACUGCGUCGGAUACUGGAUGGCUUGAAUCCGGGAGAGGGAUGCGGAAUUCCAGGUGUAGCGGUGAAAUGCGUAGAUAUCUGGAGGAACACCGGUGGCGAAGGCGGCAUCCUGGACCGGUAUUGACACUGAAAAGCGAAAGCCAGGGGAGCAAACGGGA